GUAGCAAUACGUGGCGCACGGCUCAGUAACACGUAGUCAACAUGCCCAGAGGACGUGGAUAACCUCGGGAAACUGAGUCUAAACCGCGAUAAGUGAGGAUUUCUGGAAUGGUUCCUGACUAAAAUCUAUAUGGCCUCUGGAUUGGACUGCGGCCGAUCAGGCUGUUGGUGAGGUAAUGGCCCACCAAACCUGUAACCGGUACGGGCUCUGAGAGGAGGAGCCCGGAGAUGGGCACUGAGACAAGGGCCCAGGCCCUAUGGGGCGCAGCAGGCGCGAAACCUCUGCAAUAGGCGAAAGCCUGACAGGGUUACUCUGAGUGACUUUCGCUAAGAAAGUCUUUUGGCACCUCUAAAAAGGGUGCAGAAUAAGGGGUGGGCAAGUCUGGUGUCAGCCGCCGCGGUAAUACCAGCACCCCGAGUGGUCGGGACGAUUAUUGGGCCUAAAGCAUCCGUAGCCGGUUCUGCAAGUCCCCCGUUAAAUCCAGCUGCUCAACAGAUGGGCCGCGGAGGAUACUACAGAGCUAGGAGGCAGGAGAGGCAAGCGGUACUCAGUGGGUAGGGGUAAAACCCGUUGAUCCAUUGAAGACCACCAGUGGCGAAGGCGGCUUGCCAGAAUGCGCUCGACGGUGAGGGAUGAAAGCUGGGGGAGCAAACCGGAUUAGAUACCCGGGUAGUCCCAGCCGUAAACGA
rnacentral:rRNA from 1 species